rnacentral:rRNA from 1 species
CACGUAGGGCGCAAGCGUUGUCCGGAAUUAUUGGGCGUAAAGAGCUCGUAGGCGGUCUGUUGCGUCCGCUGUGAAAACUCGGGGCUUAACCCCGAGCCUGCAGUGGAUACGGGCAGACUAGAGGUAGGUAGGGGAGAACGGAAUUCCUGGUGUAGCGGUGAAAUGCGCAGAUAUCAGGAGGAACACCGGUGGCGAAGGCGGGUCUCUGGGCCGAUAUUGACGCUGAGGAGCGAAAGCGUGGGGAGCGAACAGG